rnacentral:lncRNA from 1 species
GAGUACAGGGAGCUUAUGGCCCUACAUGUCUCUUAAUAUACAUGCACAAUUAACAGUAGGUAUAGAUACCACAUGUAUGAUGAAAUGCUCCCCUUCCCCCCUAAAGGUAGCAUGCCAUUGAUUACUUUUUGCUUAGGGCCAUUUUAUUAAACCAGGGCCUUAAUCCUAAAAAGAGAUGAAUUUUUUCCCAUCCGUUCUCUUUCUUUUGAUCAUUGUAUCUUGAUAUUAAAAACUUGACCUUCGAAUGAUUGUAAUAAAUUAGUCUCUAUUUGUGUGUGUAUAUAUAUAUACACGCACAUACAUAUGCAUUUAUAUAAUGCUAUUGUAUAGAAACUUUAAGGAGACAUGAAAAUGUAUGCUUAUUCUCAGGUUCAUUCACUAAGGUGCUUGGCAAACAACCAGUUUUUAAGUGCAGAAUAUAGUUGAACAGCUUCAUAUAUAGGCCAGGUGAUUUGUUAAAUUUUCAGUGGUACAUGUACUUCAGGGAAAUGGGGUAAGUGUAGCUUAGGCUGAUCAUACUGUUCAUUUCAACCUUGAGCUCUGAAGCUGUAUCCCAUUUGAGGUAUUUAGUACUCUUAGUUUUAUUUAGUAUAAGUUAACAGGAAAAGUAAAUUAAGCUUUUUGCCUUUACUAUUUUGAAUUUAUAAAUAUUCUGGAAAAACUUAGAAACUGCUGUAAAUUUCCUUAGAUUAAAUUAUAUGAAACAUGAUUGCUUAUAGUCCUUGAGCAAAGCCUGUGAGUUGCAUACACCCUAAGGAAAACUUCCUUAAGUGCUCCUUGAGAGAGAUUCUGGGUGUGGUCUUUUUAAGGAAAAAGCUAGACUACUGUAUGUUCCCAGUCUUGGUACUGGAAGCGCACUGUACAUUAUUACUUUGUUGUGAAGCUCAACCAGUUUCCUGCGUAGCCUUGCCCCUCACUGUUGGGAUUGAAAGUAGCAGCAUCUCUGAUGUACUAUACCAGUGAGGUUCUGGUAUAUCUACUUGUCAGUAUUAAUUUCCUUAAGUACUAUAUUUCUUUAGGGAAACAACCUGAAAUUUAUUAGUACAUUUGGGUUUCUCUUGCCAGGCAUUAUGUUGCCAGUGUUAACUCUUCAGUGGUGACAAAAUUACCCAAGACACUAGUGGCCCAGAUGUAUGUAGUAAGUGGUAUGAUUCAACAAUGCAGUUAAUGAUAAAUACAUGAUGUAGUUAGUAUGAUCAGGAAAGACAACAUUGAAAGAUAAUUCAGCUAACAUAAGGGUGAGGAAUGGCAAACUGGAUUAAGAGUCAGAGGCAUAUGUUCCAGGGACUGAUGUUUGGUGCUUUAGCAAGAUCUGGCUGGAGAAACUGGAAAAGGCAGUUUUCCAUGUUUAGUUUUUGUAUCAACAUUUGGAAGCUAUUGAAGGCUUUAAAAUGGUGUAUGUAUUGUUCGGGGGUGUUGGGAUAGUGGGCCAUCCAAUAAAAUUACCAUUGAAAAGAC